CCAGGAGUUCCUCCUUCAUUCCCAGGUAACUACACUAGGGCCAGGAGUUCCUCCUUCAUUCCCAGGUAACUACACUAGGGCCAGGAGUUCCUCCUUCAUUCUCAGGUAACUACACUAGGGCCAGGAGUUCCUCCUUCAUUCCCAGGUAACUACACUAGGGCCAGGAGUUCCUCCUUCAUUCCCAGGUAACUACACUAGGGCCAGGAGUUCCUCCUUCAUUCCCAGGUAACUACACUAGGGCCAGGAGUUCCUCCUUCAUUCCCAGGUAACUACACUAGGGCCAGGAGUUCCUCCUUCAUUCCCAGGUAACUACACUAGGGCCAGGAGUUCCUCCUUCAUUCCCAGGUAACUACACUAGGGCCAGGAGUUCCUCCUUCAUUCCCAGGUAACUACACUAGGGCCAGGAGUUCCUCCUUCAUUCCCAGGUAACUACACUAGGGCCAGGAGUUCCUCCUUCAUUCCCAGGUAACUACACUAGGGCCAGGAGUUCCUCCUUCAUUCUCAGGUAACUACACUAGGGCCAGGAGUUCCUCCUUCAUUCCCAGGUAACUACACUAGGGCCAGGAGUUCCUCCUUCAUUCCCAGGUAACUACACUAGGGCCAGGAGUUCCUCCUUCAUUCCCAG